rnacentral:rRNA from 1 species
GUGGGGAAUCUUGCGCAAUGGGCGAAAGCCUGACGCAGCCAUGCCGCGUGAAUGAUGAAGGUCUUAGGAUUGUAAAAUUCUUUCACCGGGGACGAUAAUGACGGUACCCGGAGAAGAAGCCCCGGCUAACUUCGUGCCAGCAGCCGCGGUAAUACGAAGGGGGCUAGCGUUGCUCGGAAUUACUGGGCGUAAAGGGCGCGUAGGCGGAUCGUUAAGUCAGGGGUGAAAUCCCAGAGCUCAACUCUGGUACUGCCCUUGAUACUGGCGAUCUUGAGUGUGAGUAAGGUAUGUGGAGCUCCGAGUGUAGAGGUGAAAUUCGUAGAUAUUCGGAAGAACACCAGUGGCGAAGGCGACAUACUGGCUCAUUACUGACGCUGAGGCGCGAAAGCGUGGGGAGCAAACAGGAUUAGAUACCCUAGUAGUCC